GGGGAUGUGGCUCAGUGGUAGAGCGCUCACCUACUAUGCGUGAAGCACUGGGUUCGAUUCUCAGCACCA
rnacentral:tRNA from 1 species